rnacentral:rRNA from 1 species
UACGUAGGGUGCAAGCGUUGUCCGGAAUUAUUGGGCGUAAAGAGCUCGUAGGCGGUCUGUCGCGUCGGCUGUGAAAACCUGGGGCCCAACCCCAGGCCUGCAGUCGAUACGGGCAGACUGGAGGUAUGCAGGGGAGAACGGAAUUCCUGGUGUAGCGGUGAAAUGCGCAGAUAUCAGGAGGAACACCGGUGGCGAAGGCGGUUCUCUGGGCAUGUCCUGACGCUGAGGAGCGAAAGUGUGGGGAGCGAACAGG